rnacentral:rRNA from 1 species
CAGUCGACGGGAAUCUUCGGAUUCUAGUGGCGGACGGGUGAGUAACGCGUAAGAAUCUAACUUCAGGACGGGGACAACAGUUGGAAACGACUGCUAAUACCCGAUAUGCCGCGAGGUGAAACCUAAUUGGCCUGAAGAAGAGCUUGCGUCUGAUUAGCUAGUUGGUGGGGUAAGAGCCUACCAAGGCGACGAUCAGUAGCUGGUCUGGGAGGAUGAGCAGCCACACUGGGACUGAGACACGGCCCAGACUCCUACGGGAGGCAGCAGUGGGGAAUUUUCCGCAAUGGGCGAAAGCCUGACGGAGCAACGCCGCGUGAGGGAGGAAGGUCUUUGGAUUGUAAACCUCUUUUCUCAAGGAAGAAGUUCUGACGGUACUUGAGGAAUCAGCCUCGGCUAACUCCGUGCCAGCAGCCGCGGUAAUACGGGGGAGGCAAGCGUUAUCCGGAAUUAUUGGGCGUAAAGCGUCCGCAGGUGGUCAGCCAAGUCUGCUGUCAAAUCAGGUUGCUUAACGACCUAAAGGCGGUGGAAACUGGCAGACUAGAGAGCAGUAGGGGUAGCAGGAAUUCCCAGUGUAGCGGUGAAAUGCGUAGAGAUUGGGAAGAACAUCGGUGGCGAAAGCGUGCUACUGGGCUGUAUCUGACACUCAGGGACGAAAGCUAGGGGAGCGAAAGGGAUUAGAUACCCCUGUAGUCCUAGCCGUAAACGAUGGAUACUAGGCGUGGCUUGUAUCGACCCGAGCCGUGCCGAAGCUAACGCGUUAAGUAUCCCGCCUGGGGAGUACGCACGCAAGUGUGAAACUCAAAGGAAUUGACGG